rnacentral:rRNA from 1 species
GACGAACGCUGGCGGCGUGCUUAACACAUGCAAGUCGAACGGUAAGGCUCCAGCUUGCUGGGGUACACGAGUGGCGAACGGGUGAGUAACACGUGGGUGACCUGCCCUGCACUUCGGGAUAAGCCUGGGAAACUGGGUCUAAUACCGGAUAGGACCGCACCGUGAGGGUGUGGUGGAAAGUUUUUUCGGUGUGGGAUGGGCCCGCGGCCUAUCAGCUUGUUGGUGGGGUAAUGGCCUACCAAGGCGGCGACGGGUAGCCGGCCUGAGAGGGUGGACGGCCACAUUGGGACUGAGACACGGCCCAGACUCCUACGGGAGGCAGCAGUGGGGAAUAUUGCACAAUGGGCGGAAGCCUGAUGCAGCGACGCCGCGUGGGGGAUGACGGCCUUCGGGUUGUAAACUCCUUUCACCAUCGACGAAGGGUUUCUGACGGUAGAUGGAGAAGAAGCACCGGCUAACUACGUGCCAGCAGCCGCGGUAAUACGUAGGGUGCGAGCGUUGUCCGGAAUUACUGGGCGUAAAGAGCUCGUAAGUGGUUUGCCGCGUCGUCUGUGAAAUUCCGGGGCUUAACUCCGGGCGUGCAGGCGAUACGGGCAUAACUUGAGUACUGUAGAGGAGACUGGAAUUCCUGGUGUAGCGGUGAAAUGCGCAGAUAUCAGGAGGAACACCGGUGGCGAAGGCGGGUCUCUGGGCAGUAACUGACGCUGAGGAGCGAAAGCAUGGGGAGCGAACAGGAUUAGAUACCCUGGUAGUCCAUGCCGUAAACGGUGGGCGCUAGGUGUGGGUUUCCUUCCACGGGAUCCGUGCCGUAGCUAACGCAUUAAGCGCCCCGCCUGGGGAGUACGGCCGCAAGGCUAAAACCCAAAGGAAUUGACGGGGGCCCGCACAAGCGGCGGAGCAUGUGGAUUAAUUCGAUGCAACGCGAAGAACCUUACCUGGGCUUGACAUAUACAGGAUCGCGCCAGAGAUGGUGUUUCCCUUGUGGCUUGUAUACAGGUGGUGCAUGGUUGUCGUCAGCUCGUGUCGUGAGAUGUUGGGUUAAGUCCCGCAACGAGCGCAACCCUUGUCUUAUGUUGCCAGCACGUUGUGGUGGGGACUCGUAAGAAACUGCCGGGGUUAACUCGGAGGAAGGUGGGGAUGACGUCAAAUCAUCAUGCCCCUUAUGUCCAGGGCUUCACACAUGCUACAAUGGUCGGUACAGUGGGUUGCCAGUCCGUGAGGGCGAGCUAAUCCCGCAAAGCCGGUCUCAGUUCGGAUCGGGGUCUGCAACUCGACCCCGUGAAGUCGGAGUCGCUAGUAAUCGCAGAUCAGCAACGCUGCGGUGAAUACGUUCCCGGGCCU